rnacentral:rRNA from 1 species
CUACGGGUCGCUCCAGUAAGGAAUAUUGCGCAAUGGAGGCAACUCUGACGCAGCCAUGCCGCGUGCAGGAAGAAGGCCUUAUGGGUCGUAAACUGCUUUUAUUUAGGAAUAAACCCCCGAACGUGUUCGGGGCUGAAGGUACCAAACGAAUAAGCACCGGCUAACUCCGUGCCAGCAGCCGCGGUAAUACGGAGGGUGCAAGCGUUAUCCGGAUUUAUUGGGUUUAAAGGGUGCGCAGGCGGGCUAUUAAGUCAGUGGUGAAAUCCCGGGGCUCAACUCCGGAACUGCCAUUGAUACUGAUAGUCUUGAGUUUGGUUGAAGUGGGCGGAAUGUAGCAUGUAGCGGUGAAAUGCAUGGAUAUGCUACAGAACACCAAUCGCGAAGGCAGCUCACUAAGCCAAAACUGACGCUCAUGCACGAAAGCGUGGGGAUCAAACAGGAUUAGAUACCCCUGUAGUC